AUACGGAGGGUGCAAGCGUUAAUCGGAAUUACUGGGCGUAAAGGGCGCGUAGGCGGUCUAUCAAGUCAGGUGUGAAAUCCCACGGCUCAACCGUGGAGGUGCAUCUGAAACUGAUAGACUUGAGUAUGGGAGAGGAAAGUGGAAUUCCCGGUGUAGAGGUGAAAUUCGUAGACAUCGGGAGGAACACCAGUGGCGAAGGCGACUUUCUGGACCAAUACUGACGCUGAGGCGCGAAAGCGUGGGGAGCAAACAGGAUUAGAAACCCUAGUAGUCC
rnacentral:rRNA from 1 species